rnacentral:rRNA from 1 species
AUUUUUAUGGAGAGUUUGAUCCUGGCUCAGGAUGAACGCUGGCGGCGUGCCUAAUACAUGCAAUGUCGAGCGAACGGACGAGAAGCUUGCUUCUCUG